AGUGGCGCACGGGUGAGUAACGCGUAUGCAACCUACCUUUAACAGAGGGAUAGCCCAUAGAAAUGUGGAUUAAUACCUCAUAGUUCUGAGUUUCCGCAUGGGGAUUCAGAUAAAGCUCCGGCGGUUAAAGAUGGGCAUGCGUGACAUUAGUUAGUUGGUGAGGUAACGGCUCACCAAGACUACGAUGUCUAGGGGUUCUGAGAGGAUGAUCCCCCACACUGGUACUGAGACACGGACCAGACUCCUACGGGAGGCAGCAGUGAGGAAUAUUGGUCAAUGGGCGCAAGCCUGAACCAGCCAUUCCGCGUGAGGGAUGAAGGCCCUAUGGGUCGUAAACUUCUUUUAUACACCAAGAAAAAGCAGGACGAGUCCUGCCCCGACGGUAGUGUAUGAAUAAGCAUCGGCUAACUCCGUGCCAGCAGCCGCGGUAAUACGGAGGAUGCGAGCGUUAUCCGGAUUCAUUGGGUUUAAAGGGUGCGUAGGCGGCUUUUUAAGUCAGUGGUGAAAUCCUGUCGCUUAACGAUAGAAUUGCCAUUGAUACUGAAGAGCUUGAGUACAAUUGAGGUAAGCGGAAUGUGUAGUGUAGCGGUGAAAUGCUUAGAUAUUACACAGAACACCGAUUGCGAAGGCAGCUUACUAAACUGUUACUGACGCUGAUGCACGAAAGCGUGGGGAGCGAACAGGAUUAGAUACCCUGGUAGUCCACGCUGCAAACGAUGAUCACUCGCUGUAUGCGAUACACAGUAUGCGGCCAAGCGAAAGCAUUAA
rnacentral:rRNA from 1 species